rnacentral:tmRNA from 1 species
CCGCUUCAAAUCCGCUCGCCGGCCCCCUAUAUUGGGUGCGUCGGCGACGGCCGACUAUGGCGAUACAGGACCGUCGUAAUAAGCCCAUCGGACCCGGGGGCAGUACCCGGCGCCUCCACCCGAACCGAUCCCUCGAUGGUCGGCUCCGGCGGGGGCGAAACAGGAUCGACGAGGGUGUAAAGGACGGAUCUUCGCCCGGCAUGGUACCACCGUCAUCGGACCAAAAAUGUAGUUGCGAAUGACAACUAUGCUCCGGUGGCUCAGGCUGCGUAACGCAGCUUGAAAUACCGAUCCAAGUCCUGACGGGUUGCACCGUCGGGCGGGGUUCGGAGGCACCUGGCAACAGAAGCCUCCACU